AACGUAGGACACAAGCGUUAUCCGGAGUUACUGGGCGUAAAGAGCGUGUAGGCGGCCAAGCAGGUCCGUUGUGAAAACUGGAGGCUUAACCUCCAGACGUCGACGGAAACCGCGUGGCUAGAGUCCGGAAGAGGAGAGUGGAAUUCCUGGUGUAGCGGUGAAAUGCGCAGAUAUCAGGAAGAACACCAAUGGCGAAGGCAGCUCUCUGGGACGGUACUGACGCUGAGACGCGAAAGCGUGGGGAGCGAACAGG
rnacentral:rRNA from 1 species